rnacentral:rRNA from 1 species
GGACGAACGCUGGCGGCGUGCUUAACACAUGCAAGUCGAACGGAAAGACCCUGCUUUUGUGGGGUGCUCGAGUGGCGAACGGGUGAGUAACACGUGAGUAACCUGCCCUUGACUUUGGGAUAACUUCAGGAAACUGGGGCUAAUACCGGAUAGGAGCUCCUGCUGCAUGGUGGGGGUUGGAAAGUUUCGGCGGUUGGGGAGGGACUCGCGGCUUAUCAGCUUGUUGGUGGGGUAGUGGCUUACCAAGGCUUUGACGGGUAGCCGGCCUGAGAGGGUGACCGGCCACAUUGGGACUGAGAUACGGCCCAGACUCCUACGGGAGGCAGCAGUGGGGAAUAUUGCACAAUGGGCGGAAGCCUGAUGCAGCAACGCCGCGUGCGGGAUGACGGCCUUCGGGUUGUAAACCGCUUUCGCCUGUGACGAAGCGUGAGUGACGGUAAUGGGUAAAGAAGCACCGGCUAACUACGUG